rnacentral:rRNA from 1 species
GACGAACGCUGGCGGCGUGCUUAACACAUGCAAGUCGAACGGAAAGGCCCUGCUUUUGUGGGGUGCUCGAGUGGCGAACAGGUGAGUAACACGUGAGUAACCUGCCCUUGACUUUGGGAUAACUUCAGGAAACUGGGGCUAAUACCGGAUAGGAGCUCCUGCUGCAUGGUGGGGGUUGGAAAGUUUCGGCGGUUGGGGAUGGACUCGCGGCUUAUCAGCUUGUUGGUGGGGUAGUGGCUUACCAAGGCUUUGACGGGUAGCCGGCCUGAGAGGGUGACCGGCCACAUUGGGACUGAGAUACGGCCCAGACUCCUACGGGAGGCAGCAGUGGGGAAUAUUGCGCAAUGGGCGGAAGCCUGAUGCAGCAACGCCGCGUGCGGGAUGACGGCCUUCGGGUUGUAAACCGCUUUCGCCUGUGACGAAGCGUGAGUGACGGUAAUGGGUAAAGAAGCACCGGCUAACUACGUG